UACGAAGGGGGCUAGCGUUGCUCGGAAUCACUGGGCGUAAAGCGCACGUAGGCGGAUUGCUAAGUCAGGGGUGAAAUCCUGGAGCUCAACUCCAGAACUGCCCUUUGAUACUGGCGAUCUUGAGUCCGGGAGAGGUGAGUGGAACUGCGAGUGUAGAGGUGAAAUUCGUAGAUAUUCGCAAGAACACCAGUGGCGAAGGCGGCUCACUGGCUCGGUACUGACGCUGAGGUGCGAAAGCGUGGGGAGCAACAGG
rnacentral:rRNA from 1 species